CAAAGGCUUCGGCCGGUAAAGGAUGGGGAUGCGUCUGAUUAGCUUGCCGGCGGGGUAACGGCCCACCGGGGCGACGAUCAGUAGGGGUUCUGAGAGGAAGGUCCCCCACAUUGGAACUGAGACACGGUCCAAACUCCUACGGGAGGCAGCAGUGAGGAAUAUUGGUCAAUGGGCGCGAGCCUGAACCAGCCAAGUAGCGUGCAGGACGACGGCCCUAUGGGUUGUAAACUGCUUUUAUACGGGGAUAAAGUAUGCCACGUGUGGUUUAUUGCAGGUACCGUAUGAAUAAGGACCGGCUAAUUCCGUGCCAGCAGCCGCGGUAAUACGGAGGGUCCGGGCGUUAUCCGGAUUUAUUGGGUUUAAAGGGAGCGUAGGCCGGGUUUUAAGCGUGCCGUGAAAUGUCGGGGCUCAACCUUGACACUGCGGCGCGAACUGGAGUCCUUGAGUGCGCGGAACGUAUGCGGAAUUCGUGGUGUAGCGGUGAAAUGCUUAGAUAUCACGAAGAACCCCGAUUGCGAAGGCAGCAUACGGCAGCGCUACUGACGCUGAAGCUCGAAGGCGCGGGUAUCGAACAGGAUUAGAUACCCUGGUAGUCCGCGCGG
rnacentral:rRNA from 1 species